rnacentral:lncRNA from 1 species
GUUGUGUCCACUGAAAACUGAAAAAUAAAUAUUAAAAAAUUCUCUCUCUCUCUUUCUCUCUCUCUCUCUUUAAGAGAAAAAAGGAAAAGAAACCUAACCCUCACUGUGGUGGUAUUAAGAGAUGGAGGUCUUUAGGAGGUGAUUGGACUGUAAGGGCUCCACCAUCGUGAGUGGAAUUAAUGUUCUUAUGGGAUAUAAAUUUAUUAUUAUUAUUAUUUGCCCCUUUUACCAUAAGAGGACACAGUAAGAAGCAAUCAAAGAAGCAGAGAGCCUUCACCAAUCAGUUAAUGUCUUGAUUGUCGACUUUCCAGCCUCUAGAACUGUGACAUAUUUCUGUUGUUCAUAAAUUACCUAAUGUAAGUUAUUUUCUUAUAGCAGCAGAAAUAGACAAAGACAAUAUGAAGACAAGAUGUCAACUUGACAAUAUUUCCUGGGACUGACCUUGAUGUAAGUCACCUCAGAUCUCUUGUCUGAUUUUCACACCAUGGUGUGAGUGUGCGUGCCCAGCAGCUUUGCUUUGAUGACAGUCUAUAAUCUCACCAAACUACUCAAAAUUUCCAAACAUGCUAGAGUCUUCUACAGCUUUGUAUCUAUGCUCCUGUUCUUCCUGUGAAGGAAGUGUGAAAGUUGUGCGAAUCAAAAUGGAAUCCCUUGUGUCAACCCCUCCAAAGGACAUAAAUAAAUAAAUAAAUAAACUGGGAAGUUAAAAAGAAAGGAUUCUUACCAAAGAUUUCCUGAUAGUAACUUUCAAAAAGGUGGCCAGAACCACAUGCUUGCACAGAGGCCACAACUUUAUACAAAUAUACUUCUACGAGGACAUCUGUCUAGCAACUUAUCUC